UACAGAGACUGCAAGCGUUAUUCGGAUUCACUGGGCGUAAAGGGUGCGCAGGCGGCCAAGUGUGUGAGGCGUGAAAGCCCGGGGCUUAACCCCGGAAUUGCACCUCAAACUACAUGGCUAGAGCAUUGGAGAGGGUAGCAGAAUUCAUGGUGUAGCAGUGAAAUGCGUAGAUAUCAUGAGGAAUACCAGAGGCGAAGGCGGCUACCUGGACAAUUGCUGACGUGCAGGCACGAAAGCGUGGGGAGCAAAAGGG
rnacentral:rRNA from 1 species